GAUCCUGGCUCAGGACGAACGCUGGCGGCGUGCUUAACACAUGCAAGUCGAGCGGAGAAUAUAGCAAUAUAUUCUUAGCGGCGGACGGGUGAGUAACGCGUGGGCAAUCUGCCUCAUACAGGGGGGAUAACACUGGGAAACUAGUGCUAAUACCGCAUAAAAUAGUGAAGUGGCAUCACUUUACUAUCAAAGGAGCAAUCCGGUGUGAGAUGAGCCCGCGUCCGAUUAGCUAGUUGGAGGGUAACGGCCCACCAAGGCGACGAUCGGUAGCCGAACUGAGAGGUUGAUCGGCCACAUUGGGACUGAGACACGGCCCAGACUCCUACGGGAGGCAGCAGUGGGGAAUAUUGCGCAAAGUGGGGGAAACCCUGACGCAGCAACGCCGCGUGAAGGAUGUAAGGUUUUCGGAUUGUAAACUUCUUUGAUUGGGGACGAUAAUGACGGUAACCCAAAAACAAGCCACGGCUAACUACGUGCCAGCCGCAGC
rnacentral:rRNA from 1 species